UGCAAGCCGAGCGGUAGAGAUUCUUCGGAAUCUUGAGAGCGGCGCACGGGUGCGGAACACGUGUGCAACCUGCCUUUAUCUGGGGGAUAGCCUUUCGAAAGGGAGAUUAAUACCCCAUAAUAUAAUGAGUGGCAUCGCUUAUUAUUGAAAACCCCGGUGGAUAGAGAUGGGCACGCGCAAGAUUAGAUAGUUGGUGAGGUAACGGCUCACCAAGUCAAUGAUCUUUAGGGGGCCUGAGAGGGUGAUCCCCCACACUGGUACUGAGACACGGACCAGACUCCUACGGGAGGCAGCAGUGAGGAAUAUUGGACAAUGGGUGAGAGCCUGAUCCAGCCAUCCCGCGUGAAGGACGACGGCCCUAUGGGUUGUAAACUUCUUUUGUACAGGGAUAAACCUUUCCACGUGUGGAAAGUUGAAGGUACUGUACGAAUAAGCACCGGCUAACUCCGUGCCAGCAGCCGCGGUAAUACGGAGGGUGCAAGCGUUAUCCGGAUUUAUUGGGUUUAAAGGGUCCGUAGGCGGAUCUGUAAGCCAGUGGUGGAAUCUCAUAGCUUAACUAUGAAACUGCCAUUGAUACUGCAGGUCUUGAGUAAGGUAGAAGUAGCUGGAAUAAGUAGUGUAGCG
rnacentral:rRNA from 1 species